AUACGUAGGUGGCAAGCGUUGUCCGGAAUUACUGGGUGUAAAGGGCGUGUAGGCGGAGAUGCAAGUCAGGAGUGAAAUCUAGGGGCUCAACCCCUAAACUGCUUUUGAAACUGUAUCCCUUGAGUAUCGGAGAGGCAGGCGGAAUUCCUAGUGUAGCGGUGAAAUGCGUAGAUAUUAGGAGGAACACCAGUGGCGAAGGCGGCCUGCUGGACGACAACUGACGCUGCGGCGCGAAAGCGUGGGGAGCAAACAGGAUUAGAUACCCUGGUAGUCCACGCUGUAAACGAUGAAUACUAGGUGUGGGGGGACUGACCCCCUCCGUGCCGCAGUUAACACAAUAAGUAUUCCACCUGGGGAGUACGAUCGCAAGAUUGAAACUCAAAUGAAUUGACGGGG
rnacentral:rRNA from 1 species